rnacentral:ribozyme from 1 species
AUUCUUCUUUUUUUCUUUUGUGUUUUUUUUUUUUUUUUUUUUUUUUUUUUU